rnacentral:lncRNA from 1 species
GCAUUAGCUAGAAAAAAAUUGUUAUGAAAUUGUUAAAUUAAAGGAAAAUUGCACGCUAUAGCGUCCAAAAAAUUAUAAUUCACUAUCUGACAUUUUGACCUACUUUGUUACAAUACAAUGUAUAUUUUCUAUAAUAAUGUAAUUAUGCCCUUCUCAACUACCGACGAAACCUGCAACCAGAAUUAAUUUAAAAUAAAUAAUUAAUUGCUGUAAAAUAUAAAUUGUGGUUCCUCGUUAUCCACAUAUGUCUCUCAAAUUAGCUUUUAAUAGGUUGAAAAGGCAACACAACCGUCUGAAUUCCUGUCGGCGAGAGAAGAAGACCGCUUUCCACGUCUCGUGCACUGAGAGAAGGGGAAGCUAGCUUCCAGGAUUUUGAAAUUGAGACGCGCAAAUAAGACAACAUCGUAGCAGCGGCGAGGUGAAGUCACGAUUUCCAGUUAGACUUCACAGAUCCAUAUUCCAGAAGAGAAUUUCAAGCCAGUAAGAUUUUGGUGCUCUCUUAUACCCUCCAAAUUAGAAAUAACUUUUUGUUGCAUGUGUGAAUCGCUAUUGAAAAACUCAGAAACCCGAAAAUUUGUUUAUUUGCGUUUGGAUGCUGUGUUCAUUCUAUUCUAUUUUUGAAUCUUGUAUCUUGUACAUAGAAUAGAUUUGAGAACACAUGUAAUCGAAUAGACUUAUGUAUUCUUGUAAAUAGAAUAGUGUAUUAUUGUAUGUAUAACAUUGAAAUUUGGCGUAUGGCUCGUUCUUCUAUUAGAAUAACACGCGUUAGAAAAGAUCUUGACUUGUGUAAAUUUCGCAUAAAUUUCUAUUAUUCUAUUUAUAAUGAUUAUAUUUUACAGUUAAAUGUAAAUUAUUACUAUGAAUAAUCUAUAUUGUAUAGUUCAAUAUUACAUAAUAUAGUUUAAUACUACAUAAUAUUAUGUACUAUUUUCCGAUUUUUCAGAUUUUGAUAUUUGGGUUUGGGUUUAUUGAUUAGAGUUUAGGGUUUAGUAUUAGGAAGGUGGGUGUUGAAGUUGGAGUUAUUAUUAAUUUCUUUCAUACAAUCAUAAACAUUUUAUAAUUUCACCAAUAUAUACUAUAUUAUUUAUUUGGUUCCAUUCUAUUUGGGUUAAGGGUUUAUAUUUUGGUUUAAGAUUUAGGGAUUAGAGUUUAGGGUUAAGUAUUUAGGGGUUUGGGUGGGGUUGGGAUAUGAUUUAUAUAUUAGGGAUUGAAAUAUGGUUCGUGUGUUAUACUAUUUUGGUGAUAUGAAAUAGAACAUUUUGGUUUGACUGCGAGAAGUAAAUGGAAUACACCAUUUAUUGAAAUAGUGUUCUAUUUGUAUCUAGAUAUUUUCUGAGCACCGUAAAAACAUUAUGAUUAUUGGGUAUUUCCUCAGUCUUAUAUUAUUUUAAUGAUAUGAAUAUUUUUAUUAAAAAGUUUUAUAUUUUUAUCCACUCAUUUUAUUUCAUCCCGUGAAUAUGGGUAAAAUAAAUUAAUAUGUUACGUGGCUGGCUUUGCAUAAUUUGAUAGUGGAUAAUGCUGCUUAUCUUUUUUCCAUAUCUUCUAUCUUUGACGUAAUCUACACUCUUUAUCUUUUACCGGUUACUUGCAAAUGAAAAGGAUAUAACCGACUCAAAUGAUGCUUAAAUGUUAGUUUGUUAAUAAUGUCAAAAUCAAUAACAUAUUCUUAAUAUCUAUUCAGAAUUUUGUUAUUCAGCAAAUUAACCCUAAAUUAAGUAUACAUAAGAAACUGCAGAGCAUUUCACGCGCAAGCUUCAUCGUGUUCUCCACCGCGAAAAGACAUAGAGUCUGAAUGUGAGGCAGAGAAAAAGCAGAACAAAAGC